rnacentral:rRNA from 1 species
AAUAGAUACCCAGGUAGUCCACGCCGUAAACGAUGAGUGCUAAGUGUUAGGGGGUUUCCGCCCCUUAGUGCUGCAGCUAACGCAUUAAGCACUCCGCCUGGGGAGUACGACCGCAAGGUUGAAACUCAAAGGAAUUGACGGGGACCCGUACAAGCGGUGGAGCAUGUGGUUUAAUUCGAAGCAACGCGAAGAACCUUACCAAAUCUUGACAUCCUUUGACCGCUCUAGAGAUAGAGUCUUCCCCUUCGGGGGACAAAGUGACAGGUGGUGCAUGGUUGUCGUCAGCUCGUGUCGUGAGAUGUUGGGUUAAGUCCCGCAACGAGCGCAACCCUUAAGCUUAGUUGCCAUCAUUAAGUUGGGCACUCUAGGUUGACUGCCGGUGACAAACCGGAGGAAGGUGGGGAUGACGUCAAAUCAUCAUGCCCCUUAUGAUUUGGGCUACACACGUGCUACAAUGGAUAAUACAAAGGGCAGCGAAUCCGCGAGGCCAAGCAAAUCCCAUAAAAUUAUUCUCAGUUCGGAUUGUAGUCUGCAACUCGACUA